UAGGGAAUCUUCCGCAAUGGGCGAAAGCCUGACGGAGCAACGCCGCGUGAGUGAUGAAGGUCUUCGGAUCGUAAAACUCUGUUAUUAGGGAAGAACAAAUGUGUAGUAACUAUGCACGUCUUGACGGUACCUAAUCAGAAAGCCACGGCUAACUACGUGCCAGCAGCCGCGGUAAUACGUAGGUGGCAAGCGUUAUCCGGAAUUAUUGGGCGUAAAGCGCGCGUAGGCGGUUUUUUAAGUCUGAUGUGAAAGCCCACGGCUCAACCGUGGAGGGUCAUUGGAAACUGGAAAACUUGAGUGCAGAAGAGGAAAGUGGAAUUCCAUGUGUAGCGGUGAAAUGCGCAGAGAUAUGGAGGAACACCAGUGGCGAAGGCGACUUUCUGGUCUGUAACUGACGCUGAUGUGCGAAAGCGUGGGGAUCAAACAGG
rnacentral:rRNA from 1 species